CAUUGAAGCUCCAGUUUUCCAAAAAAGGAUUUCAUUAACAUACAAUCUUCAGAUCAAGGCAAAGAAACUGUUGAUGCUGGAACUAAAUAAAUUCAACCUUGAGGCCAGAAAAAAUAAUCAGAUUAUAAUUUUAUCACAUAGUCUAUCCAAUGUAUGCUUGAUUCUAAUGCGGUACGAUUUCAGACCUUGUCAGACUUACUUCAUUAAGAGAUGUGAUAGAAAAGAGGUACUGCGAAAGCAUCAAAGAGCAGGCGAAUCUGUUGUGGAGUAUACCAACCGGCUAUUCGACAGUUUUGUGCAGUCAUCAGACGUUACCCUGUUGAUAGAACCUUCACCCCAGCAGCAGAAACGACACAGAAUGGAAAACAAUGCCAAAUGUAUUUGCUUAAUUGUUGAAGAGAUGCUCUGCAAAUGAUAGUCUUCAGAACAGUCAUGUUUAGCAUGAAGAGGAUAACAAAUACACGCGGGAGAUUAAUAUUAUAAUUUAUAAUUAUAUAAUAUAUUAUUUGAAGUCUUGUUUUACUUCCGACGUUCAAAUAUUAUUGCCUAAACAUGAUCACGUUUAAAAAUGCAUGCGCUUUUUACGAUAUAUUAGGCAGCACGAGUAGCUUGAUAAAACACUAAUAUACGAAAGUUGCAAACCCUUACCGAUUUGUAAGGAAUGUUUUUAGAUCAUCGUAAACUUUACAGGGACUUGUUCAGAGAAUCGACGGUCACAAAUUUGGGUCAAAGCCAAUAAGAUAUCGUUGUAUACAUGGAAAAAUUAAGUGUUGUAAAUUACAUGUACUUAAUACAUUAUUAAUUAUUUAAACAAACGCACAAUAUAACUUACUUCGCAAUUAUAAACGCAUUAAACACCAAACGCGUCCAUAGUCUGCAAUUAUUUUUCGACUGUAACCACACACGGUUACCGGUGUUGCUAGAAUCACCACUAAAGUGGCGAUAACAUUCGAAUGUUUCAUACACUCGUUUAAGAACGAGUAACGGUAACCAGUUGGACAAGAUUCCAAACACAUACUUUCAAAUAACAUGAUUAAAUUGUUGAAAUGAUAGCUGCGCACGCAGUGUCUGUUUCAAAACAAAGUAUCAUCAUAGUAUUUUUUAACGUAGCGAGUGUCCAUUUCAAUAACGCUAUAAGGACUUUCAGGUUGACACUCGGUAAGACAGAGGCCAUCAUACUAAUAUUUACUUGUUCUGGACAGUAUUUCAUGCACGUUUAAUUAAACAGUAACUUCUCAUUAGAGCAUGACAAACGACAUUCAAAGACUUCUUCGUUGGUCAUCAAAUUCUUAGAGCACAUUUUAUACAGACAUUAUUCUCUAAACACCGACCUACGUUUGAACAAGAAUCUACAUGUAUUCACUGAACGUGAAAUAAAAUGAUAGGGAUGUGAAUUGACAUGAAAGGUAUUACAGUCAACAAUAAUAACAACCUUCUAAGUGAAAGUAGUUCAAGAGAUGGAAGCUCGGAGCUUGAUAUUCGUUAUAGUGGAGGCUGGGAAAGCGGAAGUGACUUUAAUAGAAACAGUAGCGACCAUGAAAGCCACGGGUUGGUCAUCAUUUACACUGGGAAAUACAGCGAAACGCACAGAAGUUCAAGUUUGGUUGAGUUUACUAGGUUGUCAAAUCUUGGCAAAAAAAAAACACGCGUUGACACUGUUUAAUAAGUUGUAAGUGUAAACUAUCUUUUUCGAUUGCGCUGGUAUUAUCUCGGUUCUAAACACUGUACUGUGACAUUUGUUUGUUAUAUUGACUAUACAAUUGUUAAGAAAUAUAUUCAAUAUGUUAUUUUGUACAUUUCUUUCAGUAAGUGUUAUAGUGUAGUUCAUUUGUCGAAAUUCUUUUGUUGCGUCAUUCGCGCGUUUUAUUUCUUGACUUUUUCACAAACAUGUUUACAGUGUAUAACCAAUAUCCAAUAUGCGCUGCACUUGUGAUGACGAUAUAAGGCAAUAUAUUGCCCAGAAUAAUGUUUAUUAAGAACAAAAAAAGUUAAUAUACAAUAACCUCUUAAUGUUCUAAAAUACGUACAAUCAUAAAAAUCUUCUAAUAAAAUCUGUUUGUUUUGGUUAUAUAAAAAAUCAAACAUUGUUAAUAUAGCUUUACAACAAGAAAUGGUUGCUUUCUGAUGCAGUUGAGAAUUAUAAUUGUAUUCAUAAAACCGUUAGAUUUGUAGCUGUGUUAAGAUAUUAAAAAGAAUUAAAUCAGAUAUACAUGCAGUUACGUAACAACAUGGUAAAAACUCGAUGUUGGUGUAUACAUGGUGUACCGGUACUUCAUUUGUUAUUUGUGAAUUGUUACAUUUCUCUGUGUUAAUAUUCGUUGUUUGGUUGUCCAUCUAUGCCUAUAUUAAAUUUCUAAUGUUCGAUUUGUUUAACCAACUGGCGUAAUAAUUGUUCAAUGUUAUUUAAAGUUCCAUAUAUUUUUUAAACAACAUGCUGUUGUUAUUUUUGUAAUUUCAUGCAAAAUUGAACUUUUUCGUUUCAAUUUAAAAAAGUAUUUGAUUGUUUAUGUUUAAUGUACCGGUACGUAUACUAAAAUGUUUAUUAAUAUUACGCCAUAUUGUUACCAAAUUGAUGGAGCUCACACAAACCAUGUGAUCUCAAAUGUUCAUGAACGUCCGUCUGUUCAAUGUAAAAUUGUUCCUUAAUAGCUCCAGAAAAGGGUCAUGUUUCACAAGCAUCGGCAUACUUCUUUCUUAAUGCAAUAUAUAAUUAUGUUAAUAACUUACAAACAUGUAUUAAUUUUGCGUUGUAAAAUUUACAUGAUAUUGCUGUUCUCUACAGCGCAUGUUUUUCUUUCUUUUUUUAACGUCGCUAUCACAAUCUACGCCAUUUUACGUUUGUGUAUCACGUAUAUUUCAUUUUAAGUUCUGUAUUUGCAUUUUUAUAUCCGAACCUUUCCAAACCAUGUUCAAUUGUAAAAUAGCAUUCAUCAUGACCAUUUGCUUUAUUGGUUGUUUGUAGGUCUGUUUAUUUUCAAUAUCGUCAUCGAAUUUCAUUUUUUGCAGGCGUUGUUUUCAGGCACUUAUUUUCAUAAAGCUUCUUCGCGAACACUUAAAAGUUAUUUUUAUAAAAUUGAAUUAGUAAACAUAAUUUUUGUCCUUUGAUAUGCAUAUUAUUUUGGCAUGAAACUAUUUAAUACAAUUAUAUUUAUUAUGUUGCUUGAAUGACAUAGUGCUGUCUUUUGUUAGUAGAAAUCCUAUGGUUUCACACAAGAAUUUCGAAAAUUAAAAUGUCGUUAAGUCAAUCGUAGGGUUAGAUUUGCCCAAGAAGCUGUCUGAAUACAAACGCUUUCUCUUGUGUUUUUAAACACAUUUGCCAUGUGGCCGCGCUAUUUAUUUUUAUUUGUGUUGCCUUUUAUUAAAAAUUUACAUUUUGUUUCUUUUUAUCGAUUUAUUGAAGCUGUUUGGCUUAUUUUAUCAUGUUGACGUAUGGAGUCAUACGUAUUUGAUAAACUAUGCGUUUUAAAACCUACUAUGCCUGUUUUGUUUUGUUUUUAUUUAAGUACUUUUUAUUGCUGUUGUGGAACUUGUAUUCGCUGUCAUCCAUUGUCCAGUAUUAUACUUUGGAAUAAGUAAUAAAACUAUUUGGCUUUCUCGA